UUUUCUCAGAGGCUCUGUGGCAUGCAUUCCGGGAGGAACGUGGCAUUCAGGUCGGAGGGUUCUACGCGGAAUAGAGAAUAGAUGCAACCGUAUGAUUUGUGGUUGGAAAAGAAAGGGAACGUCUGAUGUGCUCCUUCCUCCCCUACCCUAAUGUUCAGCACUUGGAGACGGAUGGUCGGCUAAACUUAUCAUUUAACCGAGAGAAUCAAGUUGUUGAGACUGGCUUUUCUUCCAACCGGAUACGUGAUGGGUGGAGCAGGCGCCCCCUGUUCUGUCCCAGCAACCUACUAAGACUUCCGAACAGGAAGGAUUGACCUGGAAAAUGGUG
rnacentral:lncRNA from 1 species